rnacentral:rRNA from 1 species
AGCGAACGCUGGCGGCAGGCUUAACACAUGCAAGUCGAGCGCCCGUAGCAAUACGGGAGCGGCAGACGGGAGAGUAACACGUGGGAACAUGCCCUUCGGUUCGGAAUAACUCAGGGAAACUUGAGCUAAUACCGGAUACGUCCGUAAGGAGAAAGAUUUAUCGCCGAAGGAUUGGCCCGCGUCCGAUUAGCUUGUUGGUGAGGUAACGGCUCACCAAGGCGACGAUCGGUAGCNGGUCUGAGAGGAUGAUCAGCCUCACUGGGACUGAGACACGGCCCAGACUCCUACGGGAGGCAGCAGUGGGGAAUAUUGGACAAUGGGCGAAAGCCUGAUCCAGCCAUGCCGCGUGGGUGAUGAA